GAGUUUGAUCUUGGCUCAGAUUGAACGCUGGCGGCAGGCCUAACACAUGCAAGUCGAGCGGUAGAGAGAAGCUUGCUUCUCUUGAGAGCGGCGGACGGGUGAGUAAUGCCUAGGAAUCCUGCCUGGUAGUGGGGGAUAACGCUCGGAAACGGACGCUAAUACCGCAUACGUCCUACGGGAGAAAGCAGGGGACCUUCGGGCCUUGCGCUAUCAGGAUGAGCCUAGGUCGGAUUAGCUAGUUGGUGAGGUAAUGGCUCACCAAGGCGACGAUCCGUAACUGGUCUGAGAGGAUGAUCAGUCACACUGGAACUGAGACACGGUCCAGACUCCUACGGGAGGCAGCAGUGGGGAAUAUUGGACAAUGGGCGAAAGCCUGAUCCAGCCAUGCCGCGUGUGUGAAGAAGGUCUUCGGAUUGUAAAGC
rnacentral:rRNA from 1 species